rnacentral:lncRNA from 1 species
CACCCUUCCUGCCGCUAUGAUGCUCUGGAGGUCUUUGCUGGAUCCGGGACCUCAGGCCAGCGACUUGGACGCUUCUGUGGCACCUUCAGGCCUGCGCCUGUAGUUGCACCUGGCAACCAAGUGACUUUAAGGAUGACAACUGACGAGGGCCCAACCAGGACCAGAUCCUGAGUAACCUAAGCAAGAGAAAGUGCCCCUCCCAGCCUAGGCCAGAUGCCUGAUGUCCUCGCCAGAUCAGAGUGUGGUGCUUUUAUCCAAAUAAAUGUUUCUUGACUCAGG